GACGAACGCUGGCGGCGUGCUUAACACAUGCAAGUCGAACGGAAAGGCCCUGCUUUUGUGGGGUGCUCGAGUGGCGAACGGGUGAGUAACACGUGAGUAACCUGCCCUUGACUUUGGGAUAACUUCAGGAAACUGGGGCUAAUACCGGAUAGGAGCUCCUGCUGCAUGGUGGGGGUAGGAAAGUUUCGGCGGUUGGGGAUGGACUCGCGGCUUAUCAGCUUGUUGGUGGGGUAGUGGCUUACCAAGGCUUUGACGGGUAGCCGGCCUGAGAGGGUGACCGGCCACAUUGGGACUGAGAUACGGCCCAGACUCCUACGGGAGGCAGCAGUGGGGAAUAGUGCACGAUGGGCGGAAGCCUGGUGCAGCAACGCCGCGUGCGGGAUGACGGCCUUCGGGUUGUAAACCGCUUUCGCCUGUGACGAAGCGUGAGUGACGGUAAUGGGUAAAGAAGCACCGGCUAACUACGUG
rnacentral:rRNA from 1 species